rnacentral:rRNA from 1 species
UUUCUGUGUUGGUGUGACGAUCUGCGCUCCUUCAUGGGGUGUGGGCUCCGUUUUCAUCGAUGCAUCUUGCCACGAACUGCUCUGACCUUAAUUGGUUGGAGUUUCAGGGACUGGCUCGUUUACUUUGAGAAAAAUAGAGUGUUCAAAGCAGGCAUUUGCCUUGAAUAUGUUAGCAUGGAAUAAUAAUAUAGGACUUUGGUUCUAUUUUGUUGGUAUUUGGGGACCGAAGUAAUGAUUGAUAGGGACCGUUGGGGGCAUCUGUAUUCUAAAGCGAGAGGUGAAAUUCUUAGACCUUUGGAAGACAAACUACUGCGAAAGCAUUUGCCAAGGAGGUUCUCUUUAAUCAAGAACGAAAGUUGGGGGAUCGAAGACGAUCAGAUACCGUCGUAGUCUCAACUAUAAACUAUGCCAACUAGGGAUUGGUGGGUGUUUCUUUUCGACUCCAUCAGCACCUUAUGAGAAAUCAAAGUAUUUGGGUUCCGGGGGGAGUAUGGUCGCAAGGCUGAAACUUAAAGGAAUUGACGGGAGGGCACCACCAGGAGUGGAGCCUGUGGCUUAAUUUGACUCAACACGGGAAAACUUACCAGGUCCAGACAUAGUAAGGAUUGACAGGUUGAUAGCCCUU